UUCCGCCCACCGUGACGUAACACGCCAGAAAACGUCAUAGACACCGCCCACUCGGCGAACUGUCUCCGAGCGGAGCCGGGCGGGAUUGGAUUGGACCCCUGGGCGGGAAAGGACGGACGGGUUAAGUAGCCAAUCACCAAUUGCACUCCAGCCAGAGGGGAGAUGCUCUUGGGGAGCCUGGGGAUCUGGAAGAAGUUCAGUGUGAGGACGAGUGUUAGGAAAUAAGGCUGAAGGCAGAGGCAACCCUGGAGGAUCUUCUAACCCAUGUCAAGCAGUUGAGAAUUUAUGGAGUGAAAUAGCAAGCCAUUGAAGAGUUUCAAGGUGCUCCCAAUGCAAUCACAAAGAUCUUUAAAAGUGGAAGAAGGUGGGAGAGGUCAGAGUGCUACGAAGAGAAUUCAGUCUACCACUGCUGGCUUUGAAGAUGGAAGAAUGGGGCUAUGAGCCCUGGAUUGUGGGCAGGCUGCAGAAGCUGGGGCAGAGAUUCCACACAGGCACCUCUAGAAAAUAAUGCAGCCAGCCAAUCCUUAGACUUUAUCCCAGUAAGAGUCAAGUUGGACUUCUGACCUACAAAAGAAUAUUAGAAACAAGAUGUGAAGAAAUUAAGAGAUGUCCAAGUUCGAAGGAGCCAGCUGUUAGUUCAGGCAAAGUCUUAUCUAGAGUGAAUCGUCAUCGUAUGCUCUGGGUUCUGAAUUAAACCUGAAAUGCAGGUCCAGGGGGUAAAUUGUGUGUCACUGAGACUUCGUGUGCAAAUGAUCCCAUCACCAAGGAGAGAAAAGAAAAAAAAGAAGACACACAGACAUAGGGGAGAAGACCAUGUGAAGACAGAGGCACAGAUGGGAAAGCUAUGUCUCCAAGCCAAGGAACACUAAGAAUUGCUGGC